rnacentral:siRNA from 1 species
CGGGUCGGUCUACUAUUGGC